rnacentral:rRNA from 1 species
GAUGAACGCUGGCGGCGUGCCUAAUACAUGCAAGUCGAGCGAACAGACGAGGAGCUUGCUCCUUUGACGUUAGCGGCGGACGGGUGAGUAACACGUAGGUAACCUACCUAUAAGACUGGGAUAACUUCGGGAAACCGGAGCUAAUACCGGAUAAUAUUUCGAACCGCAUGGUUCGAUAGUGAAAGAUGGCUUUGCUAUCACUUAUAGAUGGACCUGCGCCGUAUUAGCUAGUUGGUAAGGUAACGGCUUACCAAGGCAACGAUACGUAACCGACCUGAGAGGGUGAUCGGCCACACGGGAACUGAGACACGGUCCAGACUCCUACGGGAGGCAGCAGUAGGGUAUCUACCGCAAUGGGCGAGAGCCUGACGGAGCAACGCCGCGUGAGUGAUGAAGGUCUUCGGAUCGUAAAACUCUGUUAUUAGGGAAGAACAAACGUGUAAAUAACUGUGCACGUCUUGACGGUACCUAAUCAGAAAGCCACGGCUAACUACGUG